rnacentral:rRNA from 1 species
CCUACGGGUGGCAGCAGUGGGGAAUUUUGCGCAAUGGGGGCGACCCUGACGCAGCAACGCCGCGUGAGUGAUGAAGGCCUUCGGGUCGUAAAGCUCUGUCAGAGGGGAAGAAAUGCAGGUGGUGAACAACCAUUCUGUUUGACGGUACCCUCAAAGGAAGCACCGGCUAACUCCGUGCCAGCAGCCGCGGUAAUACGGAGGGUGCGAGCGUUGUUCGGAAUUAUUGGGCGUAAAGCGCGUGUAGGCGGUUUGUUAAGUCUAAGGUGAAAGCCCCGGGCUCAACCGGGGAAGUGCAUUGGAUACUGGCAGACUUGAGUACGGGAGAGGAGAGUGGAAUUCCCGUGGUAGGAGUGAAAUCCGUAGAUAUUGGGAGGACCACCGGUGGCGAAGGCGGCUCUCGGGACCGAUACUGACGCUGAGACGCGAAAGCGUGGGGAGCAAACGGGAUUCGAUCCCCUG